ensembl:lncRNA
GUGGGAGAGCCUUUACUAAUACCUGCUUCUCAGGUCCACCUCUUUCCUUUCGUAGCACCACAAGCCAACACUGUCUUGGUUCUUUCCAGCUUCCAGUGGGGGAACGGAGAAGGUCUUCAGGUGAACCUAACAGCCUUCGCUGCAGCAACCAACUCCGGUCAGGUGUGGUUGACAGCACCUCCCCUCAGCUUCACCAACAGUCUCUUCCAUGCUGCACCAUUGGCUUCUUUGCCGCCUCUGUGGCUGUCUGUGGGGAACUUCUCAGUCAUUCCAAACCAUGGGCAAAGCCGGAAGUGCAAGGGAACUGACACACACCUCGGCUGCUCGGGCGCCUUCUCCCUUCUCUCGUGUGACUUGUCAAUCCUGAGACAUUUUCACACAGCUCCUCAGGAGGUUCCCACGGUGACUCAAUGCCAGUUCUUCACUGCAGCAACUGUCUUGCCAAAGCGUCCUGGGAUUGGCUUUCCCCUCUUACCUGCUUCACUCUUUCUAGUUUCCCACUUUUGUUUCUGGAAUUACUUCCGAAAAAAAAUCUCAGGGUUCAGCUUUUUAGGGGAACCCAGAAAACACUGAGAUAAAAGAAGGGGGCAAACUAUAAAUACUGAUCAAACUCAUUGUGUGGAGAAUGUUCUAACAGACCUUCUAUUUGAAGAGGGACAUAAGGGAACGAGGGGGCUUGAUUGUCCUUUGUAACACACACUGCGAAGUCUGUGGACCACUAAUUAGAAAUUGCAGUUAAAAAUAGAAGAACUCUAAAGAUCCAGCUGGCAAGAAUUAUGAAUGGGAGAACAGCUAACUCAUAAAGAAGAGGCCCUGAUGGAUAACCUCAGACCAUUCAGACCUUGGACAGAAGAAGAAUGGGCCCCUUGGUCCAUAGAGCCACACUUUAUUUACCCCAGGGCCAGCAUUAUGGGCAUUUGCUUUCUUAGUGAAUUUUAAUUACUUGCAAAAU